rfam:Ipomoea nil DNA, scaffold: scaffold2963, cultivar: Tokyo-kokei standard.
AUUUGAUGGUGUGGGCAACUUGCACAUAGUUUCUUGAAACGCUCCCAAUAUUCAUACAGGGACUCUCCAUCGUUUUGCCUUAUACCACAUAUUUCCUUUCUAAUGUU